UACGUAGGGACCGAGCGUUGUCCGGAAUCAUUGGGCGUAAAGAGCGUGUAGGCGGCCACUUAAGUCCUGCGUGAAAUCUUGCGGCUCAACCGCAAGCGGUCGUGGGAAACUGCUGUGCUGGAGUGUGGGAGAGGCGCGUGGAAUUGCAGGUGUAGCGGUGAAAUGCGUAGAUAUCUGCAGGAACACCCGUGGCGAAAGCGGCGCGCUGGACCACUACUGACGCUGAGGAACGAAAGCUAGGGGAGCAAACAGG
rnacentral:rRNA from 1 species